rnacentral:rRNA from 1 species
UGGCGACCGGCGCACGGGUGCGUAACGCGUAUGCAACCUACCCAUAACAGGGGGAUAACACUGAGAAAUUGGUACUAAUACCCCAUAACAUCAGGACCGGCAUCGGUUCUGGUUGAAAACUCCGGUGGUUAUGGAUGGGCAUGCGUUGUAUUAGCUGGUUGGCGGGGUAACGGCCCACCAAGGCGACGAUGGAUAGGGGUUCUGAGAGGAAGGUCCCCCACAUUGGAACUGAGACACGGUCCAA